rnacentral:lncRNA from 1 species
CUUUAUAGCCUCAGGCUUAUAAUUCCCUUUCUGACUUAAGUAUUGGGUAUUGGAGGGGCGACGAGAACACACCUCGUUGCCUUUGUUUCAAGUACCAGAAGACUACGAUCGUGCUCAAUCCGAAUCAUCAAGCUCGGGAAAUACACAUGUACAAUUUUUGGUAGCAUCAUGGAAGUUUUAAAUCAAUUUUGAUUGAGUGAAAACCAAAAUAGCAUAUCUAGUAAAAUGUAAGCUACACAAUUUGUUGCAUGCCGAUCAUUGUAAACCUAGAAAGGUUAAUUGUUGUAUGGUCACCAGAAUUCUAUUUGGCUCAACUUGAAAAGCUCAUGGUGCGACAUAUGUGGUGAAACCAAAAUUAUGAGAGUAUGGACGCGUGCGCUCGUGCACAUAUAUAUGAUGUAUUUUAGGGUUUCAAUAUAUUAUUCGGAGAAACCACCCAAAG